UGGGGAAUAUUGGACAAUGGGCGAAAGCCUGAUCCAGCCAUGCCGCGUGUGUGAAGAAGGUCUUCGGAUUGUAAAGCACUUUAAGUUGGGAGGAAGGGCAGUAAGCGAAUACCUUGCUGUUUUGACGUUACCGACAGAAUAAGCACCGGCUAACUCUGUGCCAGCAGCCGCGGUAAUACAGAGGGUGCAAGCGUUAAUCGGAAUUACUGGGCGUAAAGCGCGCGUAGGUGGUUCGUUAAGUUGAAUGUGAAAGCCCCGGGCUCAACCUGGGAACUGCAUCCAAAACUGGCGAGCUAGAGUAGGGCAGAGGGUGGUGGAAUUUCCUGUGUAGCGGUGAAAUGCGUAGAUAUUGGAAAGAACACCAGUGGCGAAGGCGAACACCUGGGCUCAUACUGACACUGAGGUGCGAAAGCGUGGGGAGCAAACAGG
rnacentral:rRNA from 1 species